rnacentral:rRNA from 1 species
AUGCCCCGCGGCAAGUCCUCCUCCGGCGGCAGCUUGUUCUACCGGAGGAAGCACUCAUGGCGCCGCGAUGAGUUAGUGAGCAGGAGCACCCUGCAUCUGCUGGACUUCGAUGACGGUACACCACCAGAACAUGCUUGGAGAAGAAAAUUAAGUAGUCACGCUAAUAGACUGAAGGAGUUCAAUGUUACGUUCAGAGAAGCAUUUAAAAUGAUGAAGCUUGGUCUCCGGCUUUGGUCAUAUGUUCGAGAAGAAGCUUCCCAGGGAAGGAAAGCACCAAUUGAUCCAUUCACGAGGGAGAGCAGCAAACCAUCAGCCUCACAAGGAGUACCCCUUGGUGGGAUGGGGACUGGUAGCAUAUCAAGAGGUUUUAGAGGGGAGUUCAAACAUUGGCAGAUAACCCCUGGUUCAUGUGAUAUGUCACCAGUGAUGGAAAACCAUUUUUCGAUCUUUAUAACUAGAGAAGGAGGAAGCAAAAAGUACUCCUCAGUUUUAGCUCCUGGUCAGCAUGAUGGUUUAAAAAAAUCUAGCGAUGAUGGCAUAUCAUCCUGGGAUUGGAAAUUAAGGGGUGCUCGUUCAACAUACCAUGCUUUGUUUCCUCGAGCAUGGACUGUUUAUGAUGGUGAACCUGAUCCUGAAUUGAAAUUAUCUUGCCGUCAAAUAUCUCCAUUUAUUCCCCACAACUAUGAAGAGAGUAGUCUCCCAGUCUCCGUUUUUGUCUACACUCUAGUGAAUACCGGAAAGGAAAGGGCACAAAGUCAGCCUAGUAAUGACCUGGGCGAUUCUAUUGGUGGACUUUCACAUCAGUCUGGUGGUCAUGUAAAUGAACCAUUCAUUGGAGAAAAUGGAAUUUCUGGUGUUCUCCUACAUCACAAGACUGCCAACAAUAAUCCUCCAGUAACAUUUGCUGUUGCUGCACAUGAAAACCAAAAUGUUGCCAACGUAAAAACUAGCCAGUCUUUUGGGUAUGAAACCCAUUUGGGCGAGAGUAGUACUAGGAUGGGUGACCUCCUGGGAAGUCCUCGUGAAAGGGUUUCAUAUCUAGCCUACCCCAACUUGUUUGGGAUAAAAGGCUUCGUAAGCAAAAAAGUAAGCAAAACAGUGUUGCCAAUUUUUGGGCUUUCUGGAGAAAGUUCAGUCACUGCUAAGGAGAUGUGGGGCACAAUGGUCCAGGGUGGUUGCUUUGACCAAGAUAAUUUCAAUGCUGGCCCCAGCAUGCCUUCUUCAGUGGGUGAUACAGUUUGUGCAGCAGUUUCUGCUUCAACCUGGGUUGAACCACAUGGAAGAUGUACGGUCGUAUUUUCGUUGGCUUGGUCUUCUCCCGAUGUUAAAUUUAAGAAGGGAAGUACGUACCACAGGAGAUAUACGAAGUUCUACGGAACUUCCCCAAGAUCUGCUAUAAACCUAGCGCAAGAUGCCUUGAUGAAGUACAAGCAUUGGGAAGAGGAAAUCGAUAAGUGGCAGACCCCAAUUCUCCGUGAUGAGAGGUUUCCAGAAUGGUACAAAAUUACUCUCUUCAAUGAGUUAUACUUCCUAGUGGCUGGAGGAACUGUUUGGAUUGACAGUGAUUUGAGUUCAAGUCUACCUGAGGACAGUGAUUUACCACUUCAUAACAGCACUUGCAACUCUACAGUUCCACUUAUUGGUUCUAGCCCACCUGAUUUUGAUGACAAAGAAAAUGUUGGGAAGUUUUUGUACCUUGAAGGAGUGGAGUACUUCAUGUGGUGCACUUACGAUGUACACUUCUAUGCUUCGUUUGCUCUGUUGGAUCUCUUUCCUAAGAUUGAGCUGAGUAUUCAACGGGACUUUGCUAGAGCUGUUUUGCGUGAAGAUAAAACUAGAGUCAGAUUUCUUGCUGAUGGUACAUGGGGCACACGCAAAGUAAUUGGUGCUGUUCCCCAUGAUCUCGGAGCACAUGAUCCUUGGCAUGAAUUGAAUGCAUACAAUAUACAUGAUACAAGUAGAUGGAAAGAUCUGAAUCCCAGGUUUGUGCUCCAAGUUUACAGGGAUUUUGCUGCAACAGACGACAUGUCAUUUGGCAAGGAUGUCUGGCCUGCAGUUUGUACUGCUAUGGAAUACAUUGAACAGUUUGAUCGUGAUGGUGAUUGUAUGAUUGAGAAUGAUGGUUUUCCUGAUCAAACUUAUGAUGCUUGGACUGUUCUUGGAGUAAGUGCCUACUGUGGUUGUCUUUGGCUUGCUGCCCUUCAAGCUGCAGCCGCAAUGGCCCGCAGCCUUGGACAUGAUGACUAUGCUGACAGGUGCAUGGUGAAAUUUGCGAAGGCUAAACACGUGUUUGAAGCCAAGUUGUGGAAUGGUUCAUAUUUCAAUUAUGACAGUGGAACAAGUUACAGUAGCCGCUCCAUCCAGGCAGAUCAGUUGGCCGGACAAUGGUACACUGCAUCAUCUGGCUUGCCACCUCUGUUUGAUGAGGACAGAAUAAAAUGCACGCUUCAGAAAAUAUUUGACUAUAAUGUGAUGAGGGUGAAAGGAGGACGCAUUGGAGCAACAUGUAUGCAGUCAAGAGAAAUCUGGACUGGAGUAACAUACAGUUUAGCUGCAACGAUGCUGCUCCACGGAAUGGAGGAUCAGGCUUUCACUACAGCGCAAGGCAUUUUUCUUGCAGGAUGGUCUAAAGAGGGCUAUGGGUAUUGGUUUCAAACUCCAGAAGCAUGGACUAUUGAUGGCCACUAUAGAUCUCUGAUAUAUAUGCGCCCGCUUGCGAUAUGGGCAAUGCAGCAUGCGCUGUCUCCUCCAAGGGCGAUCCUCGAGGCCCCAAAGGUAAAUACAAUGGAGAGGGCCUACGUUUCUCCUGGUGCGCUCCAGUUUCUCCAGGAUAGCGUCAGGAAGAUCACUCCCAAGAGUGGCUGUUUUUGA